rnacentral:tRNA from 1 species
GUCAGGAUGCCUGAGUGGUCUAAGGUGCUGCGUUCAGGUUGUAAUUUCCCUUGGAGGUAUGGGUUUCAAUCCCACUCCUGACA